rnacentral:rRNA from 1 species
UACGGAGGGGGCUAGCGUUGUUCGGAAUUACUGGGCGUAAAGCGCACGUAGGCGGCUUUGCAAGUCAGAGGUGAAAGCCCGGGGCUCAACCCCGGAGUUGCCUUUGAGACUGCAUCGCUAGAAUUGUGGAGAGGUAAGUGGAAUUCCGAGUGUAGAGGUGAAAUUCGUAGAUAUUCGGAAGAACACCAGUGGCGAAGGCGACUUACUGGACACAUAUUGACGCUGAGGUGCGAAAGCGUGGGGAGCAAACAGG